AUAGUGAGCGUCUUUUCACUCUGUUCAAGUGUUCGUUUUCCUCUGUUGCCCAACAGUCGUGCGAAUUUGUCCUGACGUGUCCUGACAUGCCCCGAUAUGCAUGGUUUCCUUUGUUAACGCUUUGUAUUUUGUCUUUUUUGACAAGGAACAUUGUCGUCUUGACGAUAGUGCUGCCCUGAGUUCUGCGCGCGUUGAUUUGUUGAGUGCCUAGUCCUCUUAUUAGCCGUUGAUGGGGUUACAUGUUGGGAUAUUUUGUUCUUUUGCAAGUCUCAUUUAGUAAGACUUUGGAAUUCCUACGAUCAAGUUUCAUGCAUGGUGCUCUUCUGCAAUAGUUUCCUAUGCGAUCGUUAUAGAAGAAUAAAGGAAAUAACCUUGGGAUAGUGAUUCAAUAAAUAAUAGGUCCCCUGUCUAGAGCGCACGCGUCCUUGAGCCACGCAGGUGCAUGAGGACGUCAUACCGUGGCUUCACUGCAGAUUGACCUUGUCUAGAGGAGCAUUAGUGGAAAAAAACAGUGUAGCCCUGAGACAAUAGGAUGAUGUCUGGACCAAUGAGAACGGCCAGCAGGGGGCGCAGGAAUGCUCUUCUCUCUUAGCCUCUCGCAGGUGGCGGUAGGAGCGCGCAGAGGGCGCUACGAGCGCGCGCAUGCGUAGCACCCGUAGAGUGGCGUUUACGUCAGUCCACCUCUGGCUCUCGUUGGGAGAAGACGUGCGGUCGUUCGCUCCGUCGUCACUUGAUCCCUGGCUGUCGACGAGAGCGGACGCUCCGUCGCAGCGGGGAAAAAGAGCUACGAUGCUGGCGCCAUCUGGUGUGAUGCCUUGGAACUAGCGUGCCACCUGCCUCUGCAACCGUCGUGCUCCAGUCGCCCCGGCGUGAUUUCUUCAAGAUGGCGUCGUUGAUUUUCAAAUAAAUCAUUUCCUACUGUCUG